GGUGGCAUUUGGUCACAGGUGAUGUUCUCAGUGGUUUUUGCAGUGUAAUUGAUUCUGUGGUUCUGUGAGCCCGCUCUGGCGCCCCAGCAGCUCCCAGGACCCCCAGAGACACAGCCAGGAUAGCGGUGGGUCCCUCACUCCCUGCUGCUGCCCCCGUGCCAAGCUCCCUCUGGAGGCACAAGGACGGGCACUGAGGUGCCGGUGCCUUGGGAGGGUGCCUGGCUGGCUCAGCUCCUCACUGCGCCGCACAGAACACGUUCUCCCGAGAGACCCAGAGGCGCAGGGCCCUACCCCAGCCGGGCCCAGAAGAUUUCCUCAGUCCGUGCACUGACUGCAGUACAAAUUCACUGUCUGCUGCAGGGAAUUCACUCACCAAUGACAGCGUUUGUCCUGCGGGGACUUGCCUCCAGACUGAUUAUGGUGCUGCCACAGGGUCUCACUCUUGUGGGAUUUGGUGCUGGCUACCAAAAGAACCGGGCAAGAUUUGGCAAAAAGAGCAGCACUGAAGGCACAGGUCCCACCCAGAGUUACGAGGGGCCAAAAACCUUGAGCUCCUUUGCCCAGAGGAUGUCUAGCAAGAUGGACUGCUUCUCUUAAAGAUCUACAGCUACUGUGAGAAAAAGGAGAGUUAUUUUUGGAAUAACUUUUUUAUGGAGUAAGUCUUUUAUGAAGAGGUAGUGCUUUUUUGGAUUUGGCAUUGGGGAUUUUGUUUUAAUCCAGCCUGAAUCCUGUGAUGGGGUGAGUGAAGCUAAAUGAGGUGGGUGCUUUUUGAAAGAAAAAAGCAUAACAGAGGCAGAUGGUGUGGGGGAGAAAGUAAAAUAGGAAACAUGAAACAAAUAUAUUGUUAGAGAUGCAAUUUUUCUGUAGUAAAAAUGCUUCAGCUUCUUGGUUUGAUUGACUGUUCCUUUUUUUUUCUUUCUUCAUGUUUUCUGCACAUUUUAUUGCAUGUUAGGUACCACACAGCAUAAUUCAGUUUAUUUUUCAGAUAAAAAUUAUUCAUUCUCUUAAGAUACAAUGAUAACAGAUAAAAAAAGGAAGUUAGGAAGCUCAUGUGAAAGAAUUUAAAUGUGAUGAGUCAUCCAACCUCAGCAGUGAACAAUAAACAUGAGGAAUUCUACUUUGUUUUUACUUGGAUUAGGCUGCUCAAGGUGCAGGUCUUGGCUUCACUUUCCUUAAAACUGGCAGGUAUGAUUGUCCCUCUCUUGUUUAGAUAAAAUUAUCCAAACAUUGCUGGCUAACUUGGUCUGAGUUUUUAGUUAUUUAUUUUAAAAAACAGGCUGUGUCAGCAGGAGUGUGUGGAGGUGCCAAGGACCUGGUGGAAUGCAGGUUUUGUGUGUCACUCUUAGAACACACUGUCACAACAGGGAUUGCAAAUUCUCUCUGCAUUUUCUUUCUCUUGGUGUCACUGAUUUAGCAUUUUCACAGGUGGGUUGCAUUUUAAACAUCUUUUGCUCUUCUGAGGAAAAUUCUAGUUUUGUCUUAAUCUGGCCUUUCAUAAGGUAAGGUAACCACACAGUAUUUUGGAUAUCAUCCUGCGAAUUGCUGCUUGGGAAAACAGUAGAUUUUUUUAUCGUGCAUACGUAAUUAAGUUGUUAUUAAACAAAUAUUUAACAAAUCAUGCUGAGUUAUUUCUUCCUCUGGGCUUCAGCGAAGGGCUGAGAACAGCUUUUACCUGAGCGCCACUGGCUGCUCCCUCACGACAGGUUUCAUUGCCCUGGUUUGACACUUAAAAUCUUUUUUUUUUUUUUUUUAAUUUUUUCCUUAAAACCGGGGCGGGCCCCUCACGCCAUCAGCGCGCGCCGCCGGUCACGUGUCCCUUGUUUACCGCGGGCGCUGCGGCGGGUGAGGGACCGACAGACCGACCCCGACCGACAGACCGACCACCCCGCCGGGGGCAGCGGGAGAUCGGCGUGGGGGGGAAAGGGCGUACCCCGCAGGGGCGCUGUGAGGGCUUGUCCCCUCUCGGGCGGUGUGAGGUGCGCGAGCCCGCCCUGCGGAGCAGCGAGAGGAGCUGGCGUCCCCUCAGGGACGGCAUGAAGCGGGAAUGUCUGUGUCGGUGUCUGUGCGUGUCCCAGCAGCGGUGUGAGGCGGGAAUGUCUCCUCCCCUCAGGGCCGGUAUGAGGCAGCCAUGGCCCCUCCCCUCAGGGCCGGUAUGAGGGGGUAAUGGCUCCUCCCCUCAGGGCCGGUAUGAGGCGGGAAUGGCUCCUCCCCUCAGGUGUGGCAUGAGGCGGGAAUGUCUCCUCCCCUCAGGUGUGGCAUGAGGCGGGAAUGUCUGUGUCUAUCCUAGGAGCGGUGUGAGGCCGGAAUGGUCCCCCACGUCCGCAGCGGCGUGAGGUGGGAAUGGCCCUCCUCUCAGGGGCGGUGUGAGGCGGGAAUGGCUCCUCUCCUCAGGGGCGGCUCAGCAUGUCCCUGCCAGCAAAGAGGUUUGGAAGGCCCCCAGUGUUGUCUUUUCUGGAAAAGAAAAAGAGAAAUAAAAAUAUUGAUAGAAGAAGGGGGAAAACAAGGAUUUAUGUAGGAAAUCACAUUGACUAGUAGCUGACUCUUAAGGAAAAGUUGGAUUUCAGAAACGGUGAAGAAGUCGCAGGGUUUUUACUGGAUAUGUAUGACAGCUACAACCUGCUGUCAAAAGCUCUGCUCUGUCCCCUCUCUGAGGGUGUGAGAAGGAUCACUGGGAAGGAAGAAAGCAUUGUCAGCCAGCACUCCUUUAAUAUCAGCAGAUGGAAUGUAUGAUGAUGACCAGCUGCCUAAAGAAUCUGCUUGUUCUGAAUUUGGAGAGCAGGUGAACAAGCUGGGGUUCAGAAAGCAAUUCUAUGACAGAGAAGAAUCCUUGGAAGCUAGGUCGGGAGUAAAUAAAUACCAGUGCUGAUGAAGCUGAAAAAUUCAGGGUGAGCAGCGAGAAGAAAAUCAAGCUCUUGCAUAACAAUACGGGGCAAUUUUUACUCCAUUUUGAUUUUGCUAUGAGGUUCUUGUGAACUGUAAAGAAUUGCUAUGAAAUAAGUGGAGUACUUUCAGGAACUGAAGUUCUACAGAACGGUGUUGGCGGUUCUGAACGUUUCGUAGUUACCGAGUGGGAGCAAUCCUGCAGAGGUUUUGAACUGAGAAGCUGAGUGUAGAGUUCCUUCCUGAGUGAUUACCUGGGAGAGUGGAACGGAUGCUCUCUGUCCAAGGCAUUUGAGUUUUCAUUGUCUCACAACACGUGGAGGAUUUGGGGCUGUGCCUUUAUCCUUUUGGUCACUACGGAGUUCCAGCGUGGCUGAGUCGACUGCUCACCUCCUCAGACUC